UACGUAGGGUGCGAGCGUUGUCCGGAAUUAUUGGGCGUAAAGAGCGUGUAGGCGGCCAGGUAGGUCGGUUGUGAAAACUGGAGGCUCAACCUUCAGAGGUCGACCGAAACCAUCUGGCUAGAGUCCGGGAGAGGAGAGUGGAAUUCCUGGUGUAGCGGUGAAAUGCGCAGAUAUCAGGAAGAACACCCGUGGCGAAAGCGGCUCUCUGGAACGGUACUGACGCUGAGACGCGAAAGCGUGGGGAGCGAACAGG
rnacentral:rRNA from 1 species